rnacentral:rRNA from 2 species
UUAGUGGCAGACGGGUGAGUAACGCGUGGGAACCUACCUUUAGGUACGGAACAACAGUUGGAAACGACUGCUAAUACCGUAUGUGCCCUAUGGGGGAAAGAUUUAUCGCCUAAGGAUGGGCCCGCGUUGGAUUAGCUAGUUGGUGGGGUAAAGGCCUACCAAGGCGACGAUCCAUAGCUGGUCUGAGAGGAUGAUCAGCCACACUGGGACUGAGACACGGCCCAGACUCCUACGGGAGGCAGCAGUGGGGAAUAUUGGACAAUGGGCGCAAGCCUGAUCCAGCCAUGCCGCGUGAGUGAUGAAGGCCCUAGGGUUGUAAAGCUCUUUCAGCGAGGAGGAUAAUGACGUUACUCGCAGAAGAAGCCCCGGCUAACUUCGUGCCAGCAGCCGCGGUAAUACGAAGGGGGCUAGCGUUGUUCGGAAUCACUGGGCGUAAAGCGCACGUAGGCGGACUUUUAAGUCAGGGGUGAAAUCCCGGGGCUCAACCCCGGAACUGCCUUUGAUACUGGAAGUCUUGAGUCCGAGAGAGGUGAGUGGAACUCCGAGUGUAGAGGUGAAAUUCGUAGAUAUUCGGAAGAACACCAGUGGCGAAGGCGGCUCACUGGCUCGGUACUGACGCUGAGGUGCGAAA